rnacentral:rRNA from 1 species
AGAGUUUGAUCCUGGCUCAGAAUGAACGUUGGCGGCGUGGAUUAGGCAUGCAAGUCGAGCGAGGAAGCUUGUAGCAAUACGAGUCAUUCGAGCGGCGUAAGGGGCAGUAAUACCUGGGAACGUACCCUCGGGUCGGGGAUAGCUGCUGGAAACGGCGAGUAAUACCCGAUGAUCUCGAGAGAGCAAAGGCUUGCCGCCCGUGGAGCGGCCCAGGCGAUAUUAGCUAGUUGGUGGGGUAAUGGCCUACCAAGGCAUAGAUGUCUAGCGGGUGUGAGAGCACGACCCGCGCCACUGGCACUGAGACACUGGCCAGACACCUACGGGUGGCUGCAGUCGAGAAUCUUCGGCAGUGGGGGCAACCCUGACCGAGCGACGCCGCGUGCGGGAUGAAGGCCUUCGGGUUGUAAACCGCUUUGGUCCGAGAGAAAGGGCAACUUGAUCGAUCGGAGAAACAAGGACGGGCUAAGUUCGUGCCAGCAGCCGCGGUAAG